UAUGCUUAUGACAUUUCUGUCAGGCACUCUGCGUGUGCCAAUUAAAGUCAGAGGUCUUUGGACAUGAUUCAAGAAGUUGAUUGAAGGCAAUUUCUGUCAGGGAGAACUACCAGGGCAGGUGCAGGAGAGGACCCAGGAAGGGGUGGUGCCUGUGCCCUGAGUUCCGAUGCGGAGGUCAGAAGACAACUUGCAUUUUCUCCUUCAGCUCUAUGGGUCCCAGGAUGGAAUGUAGGUCACCAGGCUUGGCAGUAAGCAGCUUUACCCAGAGGAGAAGCUUGCAAAUGUCUCUGCCUAUGCUGUUUAAUGUGUGCCACCGUGGUGUAAUGAACUAGCUUGCAAUCAGGGAAGCAGUGAAGAGUCAUGGGAGCUGGGACAACUGGAUGGGAAAGACAACAGAUAAGCUGGUAACUAUGACACCAGUAGAGCUUUCAUAACUUUGUGAAAUAGCAUAAAAUUGAUUUUAAACAUGCUUUUGCACAUUCUUGAGCCUGGUUUUGGAAUUGGGCCUAGUUUCUGUUGGAAUAGCCAACGAUUUCUGCAAACCUAGAAGAAUGUUGAAAUAGCCACUCUUUGCCCUUAUUCCCUCUGCAGUCAAUGGCCCCUGUAUCAUGUUGACCACAGGACAAAUGUCAUUAUGAGUCAUAUGUCAGUUAUUUUAAAAGCACAGAGCAAGCUUUGUUAUAUCUUUAGGGUCUUGUAUAGUACCUUGAAAGUAAUAGGUACUUCGUCAAUGUCUGCUCACUAAAUGGCCCUAUAAACAAUGUGCCUCUGUAAGUUCUGUCUAUCAUCUAAGGUUCUACUUAAACACCACCUCUAUAAAAUCCUUAUUUGACGACCUCAGUUUACACAAUUAAUGUUUAUAGUCUAAAUAAAAACAGAACCUUUUAACUUGU